rnacentral:rRNA from 1 species
AAAUGAACUCUCAGCAACGGAUAUCUUGGCUCUUGCAACGAUGAAGAACGCAGCGAAAUGCGAUACCUAGUGUGAAUUGCAGAAUUCCGUGAAUCAUCGAGUUUUUGAACGCAAGUUGCGCCCGAGGCUUUUACCGAGGGCAUGUCUGUCUGAGCGUCCAU